rnacentral:rRNA from 1 species
CCUACGGGAGGCAGCAGUGGGGAAUAUUGCACAAUGGGGGAAACCCUGAUGCAGCGACGCCGCGUGAGUGAAGAAGUAUUUCGGUAUGUCAAGCUCUAUCAGCAGGGCAGCAAAUGACGGUACCUGCUUACGAAGCCCCGGCUAACUACGUGCCAGCAGCCGCGGUCAUACGUCGGGCUCAAGCGUUAUACGGAUUUACUGGGUGUAAAGGGAGCGUAGACGGCAGGGCAGGUCCGAAGUGAAAUUACGGGGGUUAACCCUGGAACAGCUUUGGAAACUGGGCAGCUCGAGUGCAGGAGAGGGAAGGGGAAUGCGUAGUGUAGCGGUGAAAUGCGUAGAUAUGAGGAGGAACACCAGUGGCGAAGGCGGCUUACUGGACGGUAACUGACGUUGAGGCUCGAAAGUGUGGGGAGCAAACAGGAUUAGAUACCCCGGUAGUC